rnacentral:rRNA from 1 species
GUCCACGCCGUAAACGAUGGAUGCUAGCUGUUAUCAGUAUCGACCCUGGUAGUAGCGAAGCUAACGCGUUAAGCAUCCCGCCUGGGGAGUACGGUCGCAAGAUUAAAACUCAAAGGAAUUGACGGGGACCCGCACAAGCGGUGGAGCGUGUUGUUUAAUUCGAUGGUAAGCGAAGAACCUUACCAAGGUUUGACUUCCUGGGAAAGUCUCCGAAAGGAGACCGUGCCUUCGGGAACCCAGUGACAGGUGAUGCAUGGCCGUCGU